AUCCGGCUGAGCCGGCCGCCGGCUGGGGGUUGGGGUGGGUGAGGGCCGCGGUGACGGCGUCCGCCUGCGCCGGCCGUGCCGGAGUUAGGGGCCGGGGGAACCGGGGAGUGGGCUCAGCGGCCGCGACCCCGGCGGCCUCCGCGGGCGGCCCCCUUGUGAGUGUAAAAGUCCGUCUUACGCUGGAGAGAAGGUGUAAGGCUGGAUGGAACUGGCCAGGGGCUUUCCUCCCCGUGCGGUUCAGGUCGGCCCUGCUCCGGCGCCUCCGCCUCCGCCUCCGCCUCCCGGGACUCCGAGCGUGGGCCUUUCCCGGGCCCAGAGACGAGGAGUAGAAUGCCGUGUUUUAAGACUGAGUCAUUCAUCUGUUGAGCAUCAACGAGCUGGCGACAUCAUGGUCUACAGGACCGGCAAGCGUCCUGCCGCGUGGCUGCUCUGCCUUAUUUGUAGACUGAAGAGGGUGUGCCAAAGCUGGAGACGCAGUCGCGAUCUGCUGUGUAGUUAGAAGAGGAGCCCUAGCAUUAACACUCCUCAAGGGAAGCUUAUGUUCCGGAGGCUUCCAAGCAGGACCGGCUUUGACUUCACCCACACAGAGGUCCCGUGGUGGACUGUGAGGAUGGCAUAUUUGGUUGAUGUCUUUCACAAUGUCUGAAGAAGGAAAUUACAGUUCGAUGAAGGACCCUCUCCUGUCGCACCGUAGAAUGUGUUCUCUUCUCCCACGGAGGUGUUCCUGGGGAUGACAAGGAUUUCUGCAGUCUGGCUGUUUUGGGGGCCGAUGUUGCCAUGGGACUUUUCAGUGGCUGGAUUCUGGGAAGGAAGUCACCUGGAAGCACGUUGUGCGGUGGUCCCUGGCAAGAGGUCUGGCGAGGGGAGUUUACAGUCUGUUUAUCCCUGUGGUGUGUGCACGUGUGUGUGCUCUGCAGGGUCUAAACCUGAGAAGCCCCAGCCUUGGGGUAUGGACGAGACACCCUUGGACUUCUUCCGGGAACUGGGAGCACCCUCAUGGCCACUUUCGUCCCAGGUGCAUGGCCCUUUCACACCACGGCCCGACUUCCUCGUUCCUUGGCUGUGACGUGUAGUCCUGCCCUGUCGCCCCCAAGCAGGACAGACCCGUGACUGUCGAUUCCGGGCUCUGUGCGGGCUGGCAGCACCUUCUGCUUCUCCUCUGGGGUGCUGAGCAUGGGUGAAAAGAAUGCAUCUCCUGGUUUCACUACGGAACAGCAGCCUGUGUGGUGUUUUAGUGCUUUGGCAGAGGAAACUGCUCCCUUGUACAGCAGAACCAGACGUCAGAGCAUUCUGCUCCUCACCGCCUUUCUCCCAAGGAAACUAAAGAAUGGUUUUCUUGGAUCUUCCAGCUCUUUCGUGCAAAGCCUGGUGCCGCCCGCCUUCUCCUAGAAAUCAACCCACAGAUCCGUCCCUUGUGCCUGGGCUGUGGACCAAGCAAAGAGCUCCUGGAGUCGACGACGCUUAGCACAUAGCCCGUUGCAGGAGCUCUGGCUUUCUUCAGCUCCUCCCCAUAGGGUGGUUGCCUCCGGACAGUUUGUUCUGAAGAACAGCAACAAAUUCUGGACCAUGAGCACUUGGACAGUAACUUAAAAUACACAUUGAGACGCUUUGAUCCAGCAAGCCUUGUGCCUAGGAACUAUCGUGAAGAAAUGACCUGCUUAGCCGGAUGGGCUUUCAUGUAUCCGCAGUGUUUGAACUUUUUAUGGGAGCAGUGUUUGUGAGUCUUCUUGGUACUGGCAGAACGCUUCUUGACAGAGUGACUGCGGGGGAGGCCAGUGUGCCCUUCAUCACCGUGAAUGGGUCAGAGUUCCUGGAAAUGUUGGUUGGCAUGGGCCAGCGAGGGUUCGUAACAUGUUUGCAGUGGCUCGAAAAAAACGCUCCUUGUCUUACUUAUUGAUGAGAUUGAUGCCAUUGGCGGAAAGCAAGGCCAGGGGCACCGUGGAGCCCGGAAUGAGCAGGAGAACACACUGAACCAGAUGCUUGUGGAGAUGGACAGUGAACAGAUGCCAGUGACAGCCGCUGAGACCAGGUCUGUGCCGUCAGCACCGCCAGGCCCUCCUCCAGCCUUUUGUUCCUAUAAACUCCCUGGGUGAGAAUCCUUGAUGGUUCAGUUUUUAGAAGGCUGCUUCCCAGCAGAGUUAGUGGAGAAAGCUGUGUUAGAUCAACACUGGCCCCAGGAGUCAGCGAUAGGAUGAGGGGCCCAUGUACCCUGCCUGUGCCCCACCAGCAGGAGGGGUUAGCAGGGGUGCGGUGGCGGAAGUCCUGUUGGGGAGGUGGACCGGCCAGAUGGGGGCUCCCCUGCCCCUCCUCUCCUAGGCCUUGGUGCCCACAGGGUGGUGCGGUUGGAGCAUGUGUUGCUUCCUGUCUCAGCCUCUCCUGUUGUCUUCCUGGACUCAGAAUCGCAUGCGUGGGCAGGCCUGCCUUGUCCCAAAAUCUCUCUCCUGGUUAAGACUUUUCCACAGAGUGGUUCCAGCCAAGUGUGUCUGGGAGCUUGUCAGGCGUGCUGAAGCUUCACUGGAAACGUCUGAGUGUUGAUGCUACUUUUCAAAUUGGGAGAAGCUCUCAGGGGGCCGGUGGCAAGUUUUGAUCUUCACUUUGGGGUUGCCGGGAGUUCCCUGGGUUUGGGGAUUCACUAGGAGGACACUCAGAACCUCAGGUGUGCUCAUAUCCAUGACUGUGACUGAUGACAGACCCAGAACGAGAUCUGUGCAGGGAACGCUGUGGAAAAGGAGGUCGGCCGUAGCCUCCCUGAGGAUGGCGCGAGAGGUGCUGAUCUCCCUUUGUGGAGCGUGACGACACACUCAGUUGUUGUUGCGGUUGCCCAAGAUUUUCACUCUGUACCCAGUUUGUCCCACCAUCCCGCAGAUGCACAGCACACACUACUGUCUGCACCAGCCGUCUAGGCGUGGACAGCCCCUCCCAAACCUCAGGUCCCAGAGUGUGCGGAGGGCUGCCUUGGAAGCUGACCCUGAGAGGAUGAACUGUUAGACCUGCUGUGUUAUUUUCUUUUUGCACAGACCAAAACAUUUCCAGAAUCUUCCAUUAUACUUAGUGUCCAGCAGUGGUUCUAAUUUGAUGAUGAUUCUGUUCUGAUAUCUCAGAGGACUGAUGGGAGGGACCAUUCAGGGGGAGAGUGGGUUGGGGCACCAGCACCUGUUCUCAGCAGCCUGACCUGCCCCGGAGUAGGCCAGCUCCUUGUAAGUCCAGCAGGGCCGGGCGGAUGGAGACCUCGGCAGGUGGCUGGGGCACUGACACAGCGGAGGGUCUCCUCCCUCCCUGGGUGGGGGGUAACAGGUGGCAUCAGGCUGUCAGGAACCAGUGAUGAGUCAUGGUGGGGGUCCACACCCUGAGACCAGGACAUGGAGAUCCCUGUUAGCUGAGGAGGGUCUGGUUACUCUUUGACAGCUGUGUCUCAGCCAGAGCAGUGGGGGCUGCCAGUACCACAGCCACGGGUGUGCUGCUGGGUGCCUGCCUGUGAAGGCUCAGAGCGAGAGGCUCUCAGAGCCAGCCCUGGGCAUGAGCACGUGCUCUGGUAAGCAGCCUCUGCUGGCAGUGUGGAGGAAGCAGAGGGAGAGCCAGCGAAGGGCCACUCAGGGUGGCCAGUGGACCUGGCAGGACAGGCAUCUGUGUGGAAGAGCACCUGCUCUCAGGACCCGAGGGAAGAGGAGUGCUGUCCUCGUGGACGCCGCCUGAGCGCUCUUCUUGGGCUCACUUGCUUCUCCUGUCCAGGGUUUGCAUCUCCACGAGCACUGUGGUGCUGGCUGGCCCCAGCUGCCCUGCCAUCCUCCAACCGGCCCUGACGCAGCCUGGCCUGUCUGACCGCCUGAUGCGUGUCGGCGCCCCUGACGUCAGAGACGGGUCCUCCGUCUUCAGAGUUCACCUGUGCCCGCUGAAGCUGGACAAGAGCCUCCAGAAGGACACGCUAGCGGGAAAGCUCCUGGUGCUCGUGUGGCGCUUCCCGGGUAAGUGCUGGCCAGACUGGGGCUCUUGCCUGUGGGGCGGGCGUUAGGGGUGGUGGGAUUGGUGCGUGCUUUGUGCUUGUGCUGUUUGGUCCUGGCAGGUGUCCAUCUUUGUAGAACUUUGAAUCUGUUGAGACAAAUCAGAGUCCUUAGAGAUGAUGAGCCCCAAAGCUAAGAUUUGUGCCUAUUUGAAUUUCUAGCUCGAUUCUCUUCAGACUUGGUAACUUUUUGCUGCAGAGGCCCAACUGAUGUCUGAAGACAGACCCACUGAAGCCUCGAGAAGAAGACGCAGGUGUGCGGCCCAGUGAGAGGGUGACCGUGGCCUCCCCUGAGGGCAGACACUUGGCACUGGGCUGAUUCCUGAAUCCUGUGGACCCCGUGCUGGAGGUCAUUGUGGGUGUUUACCUUCCCCAGGUGACUGUGUGUGGCCUCUGGUCAUGAGGGCGCAGUAUGUUCACAGCGGCCGCCCUUUUACUUUUCAAGGACUGUAGAAUUGGGUUCAAAAGAUUGUUCAGGGACGGGCACCAGUAAGGAGCAGGGUGUUGGCUCCCCGUGGGAUCUGGACGGCAGACUCCUUGAUACCCCAGAGAUCUGAUGUUAAACUCGGCUCACUUCUAAGCUUUGGACCCAAAAGGUGGGCUCUACGAGAACUUCCUAAGACUGAUAGGAUGGAGGUGGUUUCCAUGCUAAUCUUUGGGGUGACUCCACCCAGACCCACCAAAUCCUGGGCGGAGACCAGGGGUAUGUCUCCUCCUCCCAUGCCCUUGUGGCCAGUGGUCAUAGUAGGGCCAAUUGGUCUGGGAUGCUUCAGAGGUGGGACCUGGAAGGGGCAGGAGCUCUGCAUGGGGAGUAGAGGCUGGGACCACAGGCCUGUGUCUUCCAGGCGUCCGUCAUCCCCCCCGGCGCAGAGGGCUCAGCUGUGCCCAGUGCUUGCCCAGGGAGCAGUAUCUGUCCACACGGGAGCAGCCCUUUGACCUCAUGUGCAUGAUGCUGGGGGCAGGGUGGCUGAGCAGCUGUGUUUUGGGUGGCUCACCCAGGGGCCCAGGAUGACUUGAGGAAAGUCACCCAGAGCGCCUCUGCCCAGGUAAAGGGCAGCCACCUUCGUUGGGGGCUCUGCAUGGCUGAGCCCCUCCAGGCUCCCCCCCACCUCCUUGUUUCCAGAUUGUGUGCUUCGGAGGAGCGAAGAGCUGGGACAGGUGUACUGUGACCUCUCCCGACGAGGCGAGAUGCUGGUAGGGAAGCCGUAUGGCGAGGCCACGGGCCAGCUCAUUGCUGAGCAGGUGGGGCACCUGUGACGCCAGUGAGCGGGACCUGGACCUGCUGACCCGGUGCCGAGAGCAGCUGGAGUGGGUGGGCAGGUGCUGCUGGAGGAGGUGGUGCUGGGCGAGGCGGACACGGUGGUGCUGCUGGGUCCCGGCCCUCUGCGGAGAACCGGCCUCUGUGAGCAGUCUGUGGACGGCACCAAGGCAGCGGCAGCCUGCAGGAGGACGUCUCCCUUCCCUAGGGGCUGAAGGGCUGGAGCCGGCGGCGUGAGGAGGGCAGUGCAGAGUGCUGCCUCCAGGAGGGCCCAGCCUAGUGACCUUGGCUGUGAAAGCAGCUGCCCAAAUGUCUGGAAAACAAAUUAAAACAUGGUAACAGCAAA